GUUUUAAUAAUUUAAAUAAAAUAUUGGUCUUGUAAACCAAAAAUAAGGAUUAACCUUUUGAAACU
rnacentral:tRNA from 1 species